rnacentral:rRNA from 1 species
UACAGAGGUCCCAAGCGUUGUUCGGAUUCAUUGGGCGUAAAGGGUGCGUAGGCGGCUUGCCAAGUCGGGGGUGGAAUCCGGCAGCUUAACUGUCGAAGUGCCUUCGAUACUGGCGAGCUCGAGGGAGGUAGGGGUCUGUGGAACUUCUGGUGGAGCGGUGAAAUGCGUUGAUAUUGGGAGGAACACCAGUGGCGAAGGCGGCUCACUGGACCGGAACUGACGCUGAGGCGCGAAAGCGUGGGGAGCAAACAGG